rnacentral:rRNA from 1 species
GUGCCAGCAGCCGCGGUAAUUCCAGCUCCAAUAGCGUAUAUUAAAGUUGUUGCAGUUAAAAAGCUCGAAGUUGAACCUUGGGCCUGGAUAGCCGGGCCGCCUCACCGCGUGCACUGGUCCGGCUGGGCCUUUCCUUCUAGGGAUCCGCAUGUCCUUCACUGGGUGUGUCGGGGAACUAGGACUUUUACUUUGAAAAAAUUAGAGUGUUCAAAGCAGGCCUUCGCUCGAAUACAUUAGCAUGGAAUAAUAGAAUAGGACGUUGCGGUUCUAUUUUGUUGGAUUCUAGGGCCGCCGUAAGGUGUUAAUAGGGAUAGUCGGGGGCAUCAGUAUUCAAUUGUCAGAGGUGAAAUUCUUGGAUUUAUUGAAGACUAACUACUGCGAAAGCAUUUGCCAAGGAUGUUUUCAUUAAUCAGGAACGAAAGUUAGGGGAUCGAAGACGAUCAGAUACCGUCGUAGUCUUAACCAUAAACUAUGCCGACUAGGGAUCGGGCGAUGUUAUCAUUUUGACUCGCUCGGCACCUUACGAGAAAUCAUAAGUUUUUGGGUUCUGGGGGGAGUAUGGUCGCAAGGCUGAAACUUAAAGAAAUUGACGGGAAGGGCACCACCAGGCGUGUAGCCUGCGGCUUAAUUUGACUCAACACGGGGAAACUCACCAGGUCUAGACACGAUAAGGAUUGACAGAUCGAGAGCUCUUUCUUGAUAUUGUGGGAUGCUGCUGCAUGGUCCGAUCAUUAGCUCGUCGGAUGAUUUGUCUGCUAAGUUGCGAUAACGAACGAU